GCAAGUCGAACGGGAUCCUGCAAGCUUGCUUGCGGGUGAGAGUGGCGAACGGGUGAGUAAUGCGUGACCAACCUGCCCCAUGCUCCGGAAUAGCUCCUGGAAACGGGUGGUAAUGCCGGAUGCUCCCGCGCCCCGCAUGGGGUGUGGGGAAAGCUUUCGUGGCAUGGGAUGGGGUCGCGUCCUAUCAGCUUGUUGGCGGGGUGAGGGCCCACCAAGGCGUUGACGGGUAGCCGGCCUGAGAGGGCGACCGGCCACAUUGGGACUGAGAUACGGCCCAGACUCCUACGGGAGGCAGCAGUGGGGAAUAUUGCACAAUGGGCGCAAGCCUGAUGCAGCGACGCCGCGUGCGGGAUGGAGGCCUUCGGGUUGUAAACCGCUUUUGUUUGGGAGCAAGCCCUUCGGGGUGAGUGUACCUUUCGAAUAAGCACCGGCUAACUACGUGCCAGCAGCCGCGGUAAUACGUAGGGUGCGAGCGUUAUCCGGAAUUAUUGGGCGUAAAGGGCUCGUAGGCGGUUCGUCGCGUCCGGUGUGAAAGUCCAUCGCUUAACGGUGGAUCCGCGUCGGGUACGGGCGGGCUGGAGUGCGGUAGGGGAGACUGGAAUUCCCGGUGUAACGGUGGAAUGUGUAGAUAUCGGGAAGAACACCAAUGGCGAAGGCAGGUCUCUGG
rnacentral:rRNA from 1 species